AGGGUAUUAAAAACCACAUUCUCAAUAUAAAAGGAAAAAUCUUUUAUAAUUCAUGAGUUCAUUGUUUUAAAAUAUCGAAAUGGGCAUGUGUUUAUUCUAUAUGUUUCUUUGUAUUUUUAUAAUCGAGAACGUUUCAAGCCAAACCCUGAAAUGCCAAUUGGAUGGUGUUGAUUUGACCGUAUACAAACAAUAUAAUAAGGUUUUAAUAAUAUUGUUGUCAAAUACGUGCAUAUACUGUUAAAUUAUAACAAUACAAAAUUAAAAGUAAACUAUUUCAUAAUUUUUGAAAUAAAUAAGAUAUAAACCGUUAUUAAAAAUGUAAAAGGACCUCAUCCUUAAAAUCUUACAAAAUAUUGGGGUAAAUGUGACAAAUUUUGGUUGCUUUUUAAUUGUCGAAUAACAAAUAUUCAACUAACAUUUUAGAAUUAGCCCUGUGACAAAAAUAUGUGAAACUUAAAAAUUAUUUUAGUGUUUUUACUCAACUUAAAAUGCACUCAAAUGUAACUCAAUAACUUCAAUAAAACGUACUUAAAGAAUGUGCUCGCCUGGAAUAUUGGAUAACAAACCAGUAAUCAGAAUAUAAAGACGCCGAAGCAGUGCAAGUUUCUUUUUUCAAAUUAUUACCACGCCCGCGAUAUAUACAUGUUACAAAGCAUACAUGUUGGAGAUGCUUAUGAUAAUAAAAAUGCCAGAAGCCAUCAUAAUCUCCAUAAAUCUCCAUUUGGAUUCGCCUUCCCCGCACUCUGCAUUUAGGCAUCUGCGAGGGAUACCUGGAGGAUUGAAUAAUUGGCUAAAUACAGCCAGCUUUCGUAACCACAAGCAUCGGCCAACCGGCCGUUAUUCGGUGACACCCGGCCCGGCCAGCCGGCCUUAAAGCACGCGACUGCAGUGAGGGACUUUCUCCUGCUGCACUUAUACAUUUAAUUAAUUGGGACCCAACUAAAGGAUUACUAACCCACAAAACUACACACAAAUCAUGUAAGUGAGCUCCUGUUUUAAACUC